UAACUUUGGCACUGCAGAGGUAGAUUGGAUCACUGUAAAUUUGAGGUCUGAUCUACAUAGUGAGUUCCAGUCAGCUAGGGUUAUGCAAUGAGACCCUGUCUGGGGAACAACAAAGUCAUAGGUACUAAGUGUCGACCUAUGUGAAACAAUGGUGCCUGGGUGCCUAGAUUUUGUUAAAAGCCAAAGACAGGUUUGUUUUUUUUUUUUCUAUUCUAAGCCAGAUGAAAGAAGGGAAAAGCAAAGUAUCAAUUUAUUUGUUCCUCUCUAUUAAAGGAGCAAUACAGCCUUGUCUUUGUUUUUAAUUCUCUUACUUGACAGAGUGAAGCUGAUAAUGCUGCUCAGUAACAUUGGUUUGUGUUGCCAAGCAUCUGGUCUGUAAAGCACCAAGCACGGGUAAUGUGGAGGAUUUUUGUGUGGGACUAGCAGGCUCACACAGUGCAGUUAAGGAAGGGAAGUGAGAUAUUCUUUCCCUCCAAAGGAUUCUGUGAGAGAAUCUAAGUUAAGCCAGAGAACAAUGGGUUUGAGGCAAACAUAACUUGAGGGCAGAGAAGGGAGCAUUCUACAGGGGACAGUGGCAUGGUGAAGAGCCCAGUGGCAGGAGUCCCAGAAGACCUGUAUUCUCAGGUCUUUCCUCAGGAGACCUGUAUUGGACUCCAUCUUGUCAAGACCUAGCUCCUCAGUCGGCAACAUACUAGCUUCAUGAGGCUACUGAGCACCUAAAGUGUAUCUUGUAUCAUUGCAGGAACAAAAUUAGAGUUAACAAAUACCAAGCAGGAAAGUGGCUGGUGAGGAAAUCAAUGAAAGACAGAUUGGCCUGGGCUAAGUGUACACAAGACCCUCGGAUUGCAGUAGGUCCCUGUUCCCCACUAGAAAAGAAAAUUAAGGUGGCACCCAUUCUUCACGAGUGAGAAAACUGUUAGUCCAGGAGUUCCAGCAGGAGAGUGAAACAGUUGAUAAACUUAAGACCAUGUCUUUUGACUUCCGGUUUGCUAAAGCAGAUUCCUACUACUAUCAACAGCGUCAGGAAAUGAUCAGAGAAGCCUGGAAUUAUAAACCAGAUGAAGAGUGGAACACUAACCCAGAGGAAGAGAAGCCAAAAUGCAAAAAAACAAAGAAUGCUAAAAAAUGGGACUACCUAGUACCUGAGAGAGAGAUGAAUCACAUAGAGAAACACAUACACAGAGCUGAACGGGCUAGAGGCCUCAGAGACCACAAAUACCAACUAAUCCCGCAGAACACUUCAAGUAAAACUCCUUCCCCAAAACCAUUAGUACCAGAGGAUGAAAAGAAGAAAAAUAUCCCGAAACCACAUAAAACUAUACCCAAAAAGCCUAAAAUGGCAUGGGCAAAGGAGCAAAUGAAGCAACAUAAAGACCGGAUGAUGAGAGGAAGAGCGCUCAGCGAAGAGAGAGAGGACCAAAGGGUUCCAAAGCUUACCAUCCAUGGCCGCCCUCACUUAAAAUCAAAAGCGAAGAAAGAAGAAGAGAAAGAGUUUGAAAAGGUCAAAGCGUAUCCCAUCUUCCAGCCUUCCAAUGAAAAACUUAUAGAAGUGACUGUUCACAUGGAAAAGUCGAAAUCGGUAAACGUGCAAAAACCACUCGGAAGGCAAUUCCUGUGUAUGCCACCAUUUUUGAAAAGUCAACUCGAAAAAAAUAAAAAGCUUAAGCUAUUUCCUUGA